rnacentral:lncRNA from 1 species
GUAACAUGGAGAUCCUACUACUACAGAGGAGAGGAGGUAACAUGGAGGUCCUACUACUACAGAGGGAAGCCUACUGGAUAUCCUGUCUAAAAACAUUGACCCCUCGUGGUCUGAAUAUUGACUUAGAUCAAAGACCCUUAUUAUGAACAAUAUUUAGAGUCUAAAAAACAGUAUUUAAAAAAAUCUAUUCUUUCUGCAGGUUAUCAGCAUACACCCAAUAUGUUCCCCUGUUGAUGCAGCUUCUUAUGCAUUAGGGUUGAACCAAAAGAUUAUUCCAAACAAUUAUAUAUUUGUGUGUGUGUGUGUGUGUGUGUGUGUGUGUGUGUGUGUGUGUGUGUGUGUGUGUGUGUGUGUGUGUGUGUGUGUGUGUGUGUGUGUGUGUGUGUGUGUGUGUGUGUGUGGAAUUGAUGAGGAAAAACAUGUAUUUAGUCCAUUUUAGAAUAAGGCUGUAACGUAACAAAAUGUGGAAAAAGG